rnacentral:rRNA from 1 species
UACGUAGGCAGCGAGCGUUGUUCGGAAUUACUGGGCGUAAAGGGUGCGUAGGCGGCUUUUUAAGUUUGGUGUGAAAUCUCCCGGCUCAACUGGGAGGGUGCGCCGAAUACUGAGAAGCUAGAGUGUGGGAGAGGAAAGUGGAAUUCCUGGUGUAGCGGUGAAAUGCGUAGAUAUCAGGAGGAACACCGGUGGUGUAAACGGCUUUCUGGACCAUAACUGACGCUGAGGCACGAAAGCGUGGGUAGCAAACAGG